UAGCGCGCAGGGAAGGCUGGUCACCCCACCCUAAUCUUGUUAUGCAAAUAGGCUUCCCACUUGGCAGGGGCCGUCUUGUCCACUCGUUUCUGUAAACAUGGGUGGCAAAAAGAGAAGAUGGAGCUGCCAUUUAGAACAUGCCUAAUCCCAGCUUCAUCUUGCUGAGCAAAAAUGAAGGAGCCUGGACCCAACUUUGUUACUGUGAGAAAGGGUCUUCAUUCAUUCAAGAUGGCAUUUGUUAAGCACCUACUACAAACCUUGGAAAUCAAGAAAGUUCUGGAAUGAUGAAGCUGUUCAUGCCAAGACCGAAAGUGCUGGCCCAGUAUGAGUCCAUUCAGUUCAUGCCGUGACAAUUUUCUUGGAACUCCUUUUUAUUGUUAGUUCUCACUUGUUUCCAUAUUUAGUGAAUGUACAUUUAAUUGCAAAGCUGUCAUUAAUAAAAAUUCUUAUAGUACCUCAAAAAAAAAAAAA
rnacentral:lncRNA from 1 species